rnacentral:lncRNA from 1 species
AUAUGUAUGCCUACAGUAUAUGGAAUCUAUAUUGUAUUUUAUUCAUUAAGUGUCCAUUCUCUUAAUGAAAAGAUCUCUGGAUAUUUCCCGUUACUUAUUUAUGAUUUUUUGUGAAAAGUUAGUUUUGAGACUUUUACAUGAACUAUCUAAAAUAAAGGGUUUAUGCCAAACAAGACAACAUCAACAUGCACAAAAACAUAUAUUGUUAGUAUUCCAAGGAAUUAGCAAGAUGUUUUUGCAAUGUUUUUCAGCCCUUUUGAGAAAAUCAUCUGCCACUGACUUUCUGACCAGAGGCAGAGAUAAGCGCUCUCCAGAGUGUUCUGAAGUAGAGUGCAGCAUUGAGGAAAAUGAGCCAGAAGAGCUGCUUGAGUCUAAAUCUGACUAUGAUGAAAAACUAAACUUGGGACAAAAUGGUGGAACCAAAACAGGGAAACAACAGCAGAAUGAGAAUAAAUCUAACUUCGAGGAAGGCUCUGGCAUGUAGCUCACUGACACUCAGCAUUAGAAACUGAGCAAGACCCUUACAAGAUGUUAAAAGCAUCUCUAGAGUCUUUAGUGCAUGAUGGGAAAGUAUUAUUAAGUCCUAAUAUUAUUCGUGGAUCAUAUCUCAUAAAACUGUAAUGGAAAAACAUUUGUAUAAGAAAUUAGAAUUUUCAACCAUGUAAGGUUGUGAAAACAUAAAAAGUCAGUUUACUGCACUAUACAGUAUGUAUUUUUGAUUUAGGAUUUACAAAAAGGUGCACCUCAAAUGCAUUUCACACAAUAUGUGGGAAUGGAUCCAUUUUGUGGUUAGAAUGUAACACUAAAUCAAAAAUGCAUUUACAAUUUUGAAUGAUGUAAUUGGUAUAUAAAAGAUUAAAACUUUUAAAACUUUUAUUUUAUACCAUAUGUCAAACAGUUUAAAAGCAAGUAUUAACUGGUAAUGUUGAUCAAAUGGUGCUUGUCAGCCUUGGUGCUCAUUUUCAUUAUUUUCAUGAGGGAUACAAUCCAGACAAAGUAUGUCCGGUGCUAAAUUGUAUUCUAACAAAUAGGCAGCCAACUAUAUUUGUCUUUGGUGUAACAAACAGGUGCUGAACUUAAAUUGUACUGGUUUAAAAUACAGAUGAGCUGCUGUGAUAAUGAUUUUAAGCCUUAGCUUUGAAACCUAAAUAUACCGACCUGGUAGAAGAAGGCUUAACAGAAUUUCUUGACAUGGUUUUAUUAAUGACACAUCAAAGUACAUUUUCUUAAGAUAAAACAAACACCCAGGAACUUUGUAAAGUUCCAUAUGUUUUUAACGCCUUGAUGAACUAAUUACUGUUGCUGCUUAUUUGUUGCAGUAGUCAUUCACAGCAGCACCACAGAUGAUGGAAAGGGGAAAUGCUGUAUAAUGUGUGAUACAGUAUGUACUGUACCUUCAUCAUCUUUACAUGACGAUGAAUCAUAGGCACUCUAUUCUAUUCUUAUAGCAAUCCACCUCCCGCUGUUAGGAUUAAUGAAUAGAGUAGACUGUGUGUAAUCUCUGUUUACGUUCUUUAAUAAAGCAUGCUUGCACAAG